rnacentral:rRNA from 1 species
GUCCACGCCCUAAACGAUGUCAACUAGGUUGUUGGUAGGGUUAAACCUAUUAGUAACGUAGCUAACGCGAGAAGUUGACCGCCUGGGGAGUACGGUCGCAAGAUUAAAACUCAAAGGAAUUGACGGGGACCCGCACAAGCGGUGGAUGAUGUGGAUUAAUUCGAUGCAACGCGAAAACCUUACCUACCCUUGACAUGUCAGAAAUCCCGAAGAGAUUUGGGAGUGCCGCAAGGAAUCUGAACACAGGUGCUGCAUGGCUGUCGU